AAUUAUUUAAUUCAUUCUCUUAACUGAUUCAUAGCAAGCUGCAAAAAGUUACCUCUCAGGCUACGUUUGAAGUUAUGUCUACUGCUUAUAUCAAACACUGAAGUUAAUUGUCAGCAAAAUCCUUGUAGAAAUACCAUUGGUAGUGUGCAAAGUAAGAAUGUCUUAUUGGAUCACCUGUUUUGCCAGGAUUUGGUGAGGGUAUGCACAUAGACUAAGUGUUUGGUUACUUGCAAAAUGUUCUUCCAUACCAGCACAGCUGAAGACUCAGAGUGAAGGAAGAGUGGAGGAAGGUGAGGUCAGAGGAAAAGGUAGGUCUCACCUAAGCUUGGGACAGACUUCAGGAAAACUGCAUGCCAGUUCUUAAUGCAGUCUUCAAGAGUAAACUCCUGGUAAACCUCCUCUACGUUCAGAUGGAGCCAGUUCAAUCCAGGUCGGCUUUUGGAUCGACACCUUCUCCCUCCCAGUGAGAUAUAGCUCUCUGUGCUGCCCAGCAGCAUUUGGUACAUUUAUAAGGCCAUUUGUGAUAGUACUGUUAUUUUGAGAAUGUUAUGGAGUGGCUGUGUGCUGGGUGGCUGCUGCAGCCAGACACAGCACCAGGAAAGAGAAGGAACAGACUGCAGCAUGGCCAUGCUUGGGAGCAGAAGCAAGGCUUGGCAAGAUCUGCACUGAUAGGCCAUGCUGAGGAUGUGGUUGCUCCAGUGUCCUAAAGCAGGGAUUCCAAGCUCCUGCUUCCCCAGGGGAGGAUAGUGAAGCCUUCUACAUGUAGCAAAUAACCACAGCAGCAGACUGCUGGAGUGCCAGAAGCAGCAACAAAGCGCAUCUGACUGCUCCUGCUGAUUUGUCAACGGUAACUAACCCGAGGUGUGUUCUGGGGGUCAAUACAUCUCUGACAGAGCUGUUCUGCCACCAGUACCUGUGCUGGUGGAUGUUCAACAUGGGGCUGAACGCAGCUGUUGUCACAGACCAUGUGGAUGGUGACCAAUAUCCUAUGUGUGCUACUAAAACAGUAACAAGGAGGGAGCUUACUGUAGAUACAAGAGGUUCACAGCUCUUAAUUCUCUUCCACUUAGCAAUAUUACAGUACAUUCCCCAUAUUAGUGGUCCUAGGUGGCCCAGAGUACAUACAAAUAUGGGAGAGGUCAUCUUGCUUCUGAAGUAAAGCAUAUAGCUUUCCAUAUAAAGGAAAUGUGUGGUUAAAACAGCAACAACAAAAAAUCUUACUUCUGUGCUUGUUAAUGUUUUCACAGCAGUUGAGCAUAUCUGAUUACUCUUACCAGUUUUAGUUUAUCUAGUUUGGUGGUCAAAAUGAGCCUGAUGGAAAGGGAUGUACUAUUCCCUAUCACAUUCUAAACUAUAUCAACCCAGUGAGUUUAAGUGUCACUGUAAAAUCUGAAGCUGGAAACAUAAAUGCUUGCUUUAUCUAAAAUACAAAGAAUGCAGCUCAGCCUGUUAGUGGGCUAGGCUCAGAAUAACCUCCCAGACAACAUGGCAGAGUUUUGGAAAGUUUGUGUACAUGCUAUGUUGUAGAUUUCUUUAAAGAUUAAGAACACAUUAAAGAUAAAGAACACAUUUCUAUAGGUUUUUGCAGAAAGAAAAGAUGCCUUUGUUUAAAAAAUUAUAAUAAUAAAAAAAUGUAUAAGAUG
rnacentral:lncRNA from 1 species